CUUGCGCUAUUGGAUGUGCCUAUGUCGGAUUAGCUAGUUGGUGGGGUAAGAGCCUACCAAGGCGACGAUCCGUAGCUGGUCUGAGAGGAUGAUCAGCCACACUGGGACUGAGACACGGCCCAGACUCCUACGGGAGGCAGCAGUGGGGAAUCUUGCACAAUGGGCGAAAGCCUGAUGCAGCCAUGCCGCGUGAAUGAUGAAGGCCUUAGGGUUGUAAAGCUCUUUUACCAGGGAUGAUAAUGACAGUACCUGGAGAAUAAGCUCCGGCUAACUCCGUGCCAGCAGCCGCGGUAAUACGGAGG
rnacentral:rRNA from 1 species